rnacentral:rRNA from 1 species
AAUGAACGCUGGCGGCGCGCCUAAUACAUGCAAGUCGAGCGAGAAGACGUAGCAAUACGUUUGUAAAGCGGCGAACGGGUGAGGAAUACAUGGGUAACCUACCCUCGAGUGGGGAAGUAACUAGCCGAAAGGUUAGCUAAUACCGCGUACGCUCCUUGGACUUCGGUUCAGGGAGGAAAGCGAUACCGUGGGUAUCGCGCUCUUAAGGUUGGGCUCAUGUCCUAUCAGCUUGUUGGUGAGGUAACGGCUCACCAAGGCUUCGACGGGUAGCUGGUCUGAGAGGACGAUCAGCCACACUGGCACUGCGACACGGGCCAGACUCCUACGGGAGGCAGCAGUAAGGAAUAUUGCGCAAUGGGCGAAAGCCUGACGCAGCGACGCCGCGUGGGGGAGUGAAA